rnacentral:rRNA from 1 species
GGCGAGUGAAGCGGCAACAGCUCAAAUUUGAAAUCUGGCUCUUUCAGAGUCCGAGUUGUAAUUUGCAGAGGGCGCUUUGGCUUUGGCAGCGGUCCAAGUUCCUUGGAACAGGACGUCACAGAGGGUGAGAAUCCCGUACGUGGUCGCUAGCUAUUGCCGUGUAAAGCCCCUUCGACGAGUCGAGUUGUUUGGGAAUGCAGCUCUAAAUGGGAGGUAAAUUUCUUCUAAAGCUAAAUAUUGGCCAGAGACCGAUAGCGCACAAGUAGAGUGAUCGAAAGAUGAAAAGCACUUUGGAAAGAGAGUCAAACAGCACGUGAAAUUGUUGAAAGGGAAGCGCUUGCAGCCAGACUUGCUUGCAGUUGCUCAUCCGGGCUUUUGCCCGGUGCACUCUUCUGUAGGCAGGCCAGCAUCAGUUUGGGCGGUGGGAUAAAGGUCUCUGUCACGUACCUCUCUUCGGGGAGGCCUUAUAGGGGAGACGACAUACCACCAGCCUAGACUGAGGUCCGCGCAUCUGCUAGGAUGCUGGCGUAAUGGCUGUAAGCGGCCCGUCUUGAAACACGGACCAAGGAGUCUAACAUCUAUGCGAGUGUUUGGGUGUCAAGCCCGAGCGCGUAAUGAAAGUGAACGGAGGUGGGAACCCGCAAGGGUGCACCAUCGACCGAUCCUGAAGUUUACGGAAGGAUUUGAGUAAGAGCAUGGCUGUUGGGACCCGAAAGAUGGUGAACUAUGCUUGAAUAGGGUGAAGCCAGAGGAAACUCUGGUGGAGGCUCGCAGCGGUUCUGACGUGCAAAUCGAUCGUCAAAUUUGG